rnacentral:rRNA from 1 species
UGCAAGUCGAACGAAGUAGCAAUACUUAGUGGCAGACGGGUGAGUAACAUGUAGGUAUCUGCCCUUUGGCCUGGAAUAACACGAGGAAACUUGUGCUAAUACCGGAUAAGUCUUUACGGAGAAAGCUUUAUGCACCAUUGGAUGAGCCUGCACUAGAUUAGUUUGUUGGUGGGGUAAUGGCCUACCAAGACUGUGAUCUAUAGCUGAUUUGAGAGGAUGAUCAGCCACAUUGGGACUGAGACACGGCCCAAACUCCUACGGGAGGCAGCAGUGGGGAAUCUUGCACAAUGGAGGAAACUCUGAUGCAGCGAUGCCGCGUGAGUGAAGAAGGCCUUUGGGUUGUAAAGCUCUUUCGUCGGGGAAGAAAAUGACUGUACCCGAAUAAGAAGGUCCGGCUAACUUCGUGCCAGCAGCCGCGGUAAUACGAAGGGACCUAGCGUAGUUCGGAAUUACUGGGCUUAAAGAGUUCGUAGGUGGUUGAAAAAGUUAGUGGUGAAAUCCCAGAGCUUAACUCUGGAACUGCCAUUAAAACUUUUCAGCUAGAGUAUGAUAGAGGAAAGCAGAAUUUCUAGUGUAGAGGUGAAAUUCGUAGAUAUUAGAAAGAAUACCAAUUGCGAAGGCAGCUUUCUGGAUCAUUACUGACACUGAGGAACGAAAGCAUGGGUAGCGAAGAGGAUUAGAUACCCUCGUAGUCCAUGCCGUAAACGAUGUGUGUUAGACGUUGGAAAUUUAUUUUCAGUG